UUGGUGUGUAGCUUGAUCUUCAAGUUCUCCAAAACCAUGCCAAUUUUCACCUUAAUCCGAAUAAUAGAUCUUUAGAUAUCAUAGAAACCCUACCCAAUCUCAAAUUGCCACCUUCUGGAAUCCUCUUGUGCUAAAAACUAGAUAUAUCUAAACCACGCCAUUAGAUUUUUACAAAAUUUUUUAUACACUUAGAACACCCAAUAAUCCAAAUGAUAUUUAAUUUUUAACCAUAGAUGUCAUACCAAUUAUACGAACUAUCCAAAAUUGCUAGCCCUAAUUAUAUUAUAUGAAACCCAAAUCAUUGAUACAAACCUUGACUUUGAACAACAAUUGCUAAGUCCUCCAAAACCCUCUCAAAAAAUUUCUUAUGUCUCAAGAAAGAACUUCAAGCUAGAUGGCAAAUCCUAACCUCCAAUCUUUGAAUGAAACCCUAUUUUACCCUAGGUCGUCGUUUUAGUGGCCAAAGGUCUAAUUUCAAUCAUGUCUCACAAAUGGUCGACCUCCGGGUAUCAAUCUAUCAUAUCCUAAGGAUUUUUUAGUCCAAUCCUACUCUCAAAUUAACCUUAGUACCAACUAUACUAAUUAUUUACCUCUUCUAACUUAUUUUUAUCAAUUUAUGGUCUUUCUAAAGUAGUAGAAGAGUUUGUACAACCUAGAAGAUAAAACUACUAACUAACCUUCAACCUACUAAUUAUUAAGAUAAGAAAAUAACCUUAGAGGCUUUUAUAAAAGCCAUGUUUAGAUACUUCAAGUUAUAAUUGAAUUAAGAUAAUUAGAUAUUAAUUAGAAAUUUAAUUUUGAUUAUAAUUUCACUAUAUAGUCCUACUAUAUUAUGACAUCUACCUUCUCUUAGCAUCCUCCGACAUGUGCCAAAUAAACCAUAUGUCAUAAUUGCCAUCACACCAUCUCUUCAUUUUCUUCAUGAAAUCCUUCAUUUCUAUUUUCACCAUCUUCUUCAAAACAAUUGUCUUCUUCAACAAUGCUAAUUUCUUCAGCAUGAUCUUCCACAUUGAUUUCUCUAUCUUGUCUUUUAAAAAUCUUCACUCGCAUUUCAGUAAUAGGUAUUUUCAACCUCGUACCAUCUAACUCCCUUAAUAAAUAUGUGGUAUUAUUAUGAGCCAUUACUACCACAUAUGGUCCAAACCAAUGUUUCAAAAACUUUUGCAAACUACUAUGUUGGUUAUCGAGACUGCUAUCAUAAACAAGUAUCCAAUCAUCUUCUUCAAUUGCUCUAAGUCUCAAUCGAUGUUGCUUGUCAAAUCGAGUCUUAUUCCUAACCUUACCUUUUGUAACCUUUUUAAUGCUAAUUCCACAUGUUCCAAUCUUUGUUUAAGUUACAGGAUUCUAAUGGCUAACAAUUCCUCUCUUAUCAGUCCAUCUUUUCAUGGUAGCAUACUCCAAGUUGGCACAUUUUUUUCAAUCGGCAUAAUUGGUUUUUGACCUAUCAUAAGUUCCACUGGCAUAUAUCCUGUCACCAAACUAUGUGUUGUUCAAUCAACCCAUAAUGGAUAAGGUAGAAGUCGAGGCCAUUCUCUCACUCUUCCAUUGCAAGCUUAAACUAAGGCUUUUACAAUUGGUGGAUGCCCACAUUCAUUAUUUGCAUUCCAUUCCUGAUUAUAAGCAGUAGUCAAUGAUAAUUUGAUCCCACAUCUCUUAAAAAAAUCAUGAGCUUCAUAUACAUCUAAUUCUCCUCGAUCUGCAGUGAUCUUUCUCACACAUCCAUAGCGACAAAUAACUUCUUCAAGUAAAAACCUACAAAUUUCAUUUGUAGAUUUUGUUCUUAAUGCCUUGCCUUCUACUUGGUUUGAUAAAUCUUCACGAGCCAAAACUAAAUAUCUCAUUUUCCAUAGUUUCAUCCAUAUAAUAACCAAAUCCACAACCCAUUUAAAAUGAAUAGUCAAAGGAUAUGUCAAAUGCAACCCAUCUUGACGUUGUAUAUUUGAAUACAUCUGAUAAGUUACACAAGAUUUUAUAAAUAAAGUUAUAUCUCGAUACAUAUUCUUCGACCAAUAUUGUUCCUUCAUUUUAGCAAAAGUAGCCCAAUUCCUCUAUGUCCUACCCAUAGACUCUCAUGAAACUCUUUGAGUAGUCUUUGUUAAUCUUCUUUAGUACCUACUACUUGUCUUGGCAUUCUAAUUCUUUUCUUUGGUCUCUUCCAUAAAAAUCCUUCUUGAAGCAAAAAUCUAUAAGCCUUCUUUCUUAUUUGAUUAAAUUUUUAUAUUGACCAAUUCUCUUGUUUACUCAAGAUAUUCAAAUGAAGACCAAUUUCUAGUAAUUCUCUUUCAUAAAGCUCUUCAAAAAAAAUCUUGUCUUCUUUAUUAAGAUUUGAUACUGAAUAGAAUUUUGUUCCAACAUCAUCAAUAACUUCAAUCAUCUCGUCUUCUCUUUCAUAUACUAGUCGAAAUAAUAUAUUUGCUACUAAAUUGUCUUUUCCUAUAAUAUGCCUAAAUUUUAGAUUUAGUGAUUUGAUAUAAGCAAUCCAUCUUAACAUCAUAAUAUCUAGUGUUGUACAAUUGGUAAUCAUUCCAAAUAAAGGUAAACAAUCUGUUUCAAUUACCACCAUAGCUCCAAUCAAAUAAUCCUUUUCAGCUUUCAUAGCUAAAAUAACUCUCUAUAGUUCUUUUUUCACCUGUGAAUAUGCACGUUGGUGAGUACUUAAAACUUGAGCUCCAAAUUGUACUGCAAAUCUAUAUCCGUUUAAGUCAUUUUGACCUAUAGCCCAUUCAAUGGUAAUCGGACUAAUAUCCAUAGUAAGAAUCAUUGGUCUAUUGCUCUUAUAAUCAAUUUUUCUCAACAUUGGAGGUAAUAUCAAUAAUUUUUUCAAUCUUUUUAUUGCUUUAACAUGCUUUCCUUUCCAUUUAAAUCGAUAGUCCUUGCAUAAUAGUUCAUAUAAUGGAUCUACUAUGUGUGCAUAAUGAGGAAACCAAAAUACAAUAAAAUACACAUGCACCUAAAAACCUACAAACCUCUGUUAAAGAACUACAAUCCUCUUUCAUUCUUUCAAUCGCAUCAACCUUAAUUGGAUCUAGUUUUCUUCCAUAAAAUCCACACAGAUGCCCAACAAUUACAACCUCUUGUACUCCAAAUGUAGAUUUUGUAUCCGAUAAUGUAAGAUAAAUUUCUCCAAGUCGAGUCAAUAUUUUUUUACAAUCUUGUAUAUGAUCAGCAAUAUACUUGCGACAUCCUUUUUUAUCUAAAAUUUCAUCCUUGUCUUCUUCUUUGUAUCCUUUUAGAAGAACAUCAUCUAAAAAGGCAUAGCCUUCUCAAGAAUAAAAUCUCUCAAUACCUUAUUCAUCCCGUUCAUCAUAUGCGCAACUGAGUUGGUUGCGCAUUGAAAAAGAAUACACAUUCUAACUAAUCUAAGUGGUGUUGUCAUCAUUGUCAUAUUUCUACUUCUUUCUGCAAGUUGAAAUUGGUUAUAGCCCAAAUAUAAAUCACCCAUUGAAUAGAUUGCCCUUCCUGUAAACGCCUCAGCAAAUUCAUCUACUAUAGGUCGAAUUACUGCAUUCUUAAUAGUUACUAUAUUUAUUAGUUGCAUAUCUUGAAUAAAACGUAAUAAUCCAUUUUUCUUAGGCAUUAUAAACCAUCGACUAGAAUAUGGUACAAAAGAAGGCUCUAAAAUCUUCAUCUUUAUCUUUUCUUUUAAUAAUUCCACAAAGCUUGGUAAAUGUGCUCUUAGUACUAGAAUUGGCGUCUGAUUCCAAUGUACAUGUGGUAUAGUGAAAAUAACCAUAGGUGUUACAAUAUUAGGAUCCAUACACCGAAUUUCAUAAGAUUCAAAGGCAAAUAAUCUACCUUAUUUUGCCAACAUCUCUUUGAAGUAGGUAAUUUCCUCUAGCAAUAAAGAACCAUCAACAUCAGUCUUUAAUUCUUUAAAAGUUUCUUUAGUAAACUUGUGACCAAUAUUCUUUAGAUCUCUCAAACUCCUUUCUCUUCAUGCUUCUCUUAUUCAUUCUUUAGAAUCUUUUAGCAAAGGUUCGGCAACUGGUUUAACUUUCUUAUCUACUGUCUUAUAUUUUGUCUCAACUAUAACCUCCGGUGCUUGAAAAGAUUUAAUAAUAUCAUAAACUUCUCUUGAAUGAAUUGAUAUAACUUUAUCAUCAUUACCUAAUUCAAUAGACGUAAUCAAUUCCAAAGGAUCCUCUAGUCCAUUCUCUUCAUAAAUACCAAUAAUCUUUUCAUUAUCUUCUAAUAUUCUUAACCUAUAUAAUUCUCUUUCAAUAGUACUUAAUUCCUUUCUUUCUUUUUGUUUUAAGUCAUCAAUCUUCUUAUACAUAAUGCUUCCAUUUUCAAAAAUGCUAAUAAAUCCUCCAUUAAAGGUACCUACAUCUUACAAGAGUAUCUCUCUUUUUGUACCUCUAUAAUCUCGCUCUAUAGUGGUACCCCCAAAAAAUCCUUGAAUUCUCCAACAAUCCUUGGUAAUGGAUUUUCUCUCAAUUUGUCUCAAUUCCGCUCAUGAUUUGAAGGCACAGUCAAAAACUAUACUGCCCUCCUCCCAUCUUGACUACGAAUUCGUACAUAAGCUGAACUAUCACCAAGUACCUUUAUUUCCAUCUAAGUUAAAAUAAUAUAUGGUUGUCCCAAAAUAAGAAGAUAAGAUGUUGUAUCUUGAACAAAAAAAUUCUGCUCCAUUGUAACAUCACUAAUUCAAAUUUUCACAUCCGGGCAAGCACUAUAUAACUUCUUUCGUAUAUUAUUGGUUGCCCGUAUUGCCCAUCCAUGCUCUAUGUCAAUUAGCCACCUUUGCUUCAUAUAAAGAUCUUUAAACAUAAGAUUUAUCUCUGAACCAUGGUCAAUCAAAGCAACAACCGAUUCAUCUAUAUCUCCAAUCUUCACUAAUGCAUCUGUAGUUGCUUUAGUCCAAUGCUUUGAGUAUAAUGACUUAAAACCUCUCUAUCUUUAUUACCUUGAUCGUCAAAACGUACCCUUUGAUUAUAACUCCUCCCUUCACUUGUUGAUUGUUUGUAACAAUUAUCGAAUACAUCUUUUUCACCUUCAUGUAUGUGUGUAUCAAUAGCAUGAUUUAAUCCAAUUUCUCCCAUUAAUUGCCUCUUUCAUUUAAUACUGAUAAUAAUGACAUCAUGAAAUUCUUUCUUGGCAAUUCCUAAAAUUUCUUUACUAUAAACUCAACCUUAGCAUUGACCAUACAUUCUUCAAGCACUCCCUUUAAAUCUGUUGCCACUUCAAUAUCAGAGAGAGUAAUUCAUAAGUUAUCAAUUUACCUUUAUCUUUCAUCUCCUUUGCUUUUUCUUUCGAUAUUGUUAAAGUAUCCUUUGUGGGUAAUUCUUAUGAAGCCAAUGGACGAGCCUUAUCUCUUUGAGUUUGCUUUUUAGAAGAAUUUCCUUCUCUUGAAUCAUCAAAAUUUUCUCUCCUCUUUUCUUCCAUUAAAGCUUCAUGUUGGCUUUUAGUAAUAUAUGCAUGCACUGACAAAGCUUCUAUAAGAUCCUCUCAAUCUAUAGCACCAUAAAUUAUUACAGCAGUUUUCAAUAAAGCUUCCCGUGGCAUCUUCUCUUUUUGCAUUAUAGAAAUAGCAGAAGACCAAAGUCUACUUGGUUGAACAUUUUCAACAAAAUUUUGUUUGCCAUAAUUAUCCACCCUAGUUCUAUAACUUGCAGCUUCUAUUACUGCAAUUCCAUGUAUUGUCAAAUAAUCUUUAAUCAAUGCUUUCAUGCCUCCUUUACCAAAGUUGGUUUGGAAAAGAUCACCAAUAUCUUUCAAUACAACCUUCCCAUCUUUCUAAUAAACAAUGCCUUGUUGAACCAUCUCAUCAAAUUUACCACAAUCUUUUUGAGAAUGAGAAUCAUCAUUAUACCAAAUGCAUCUUUGUAUAUAUCCUUGUUUAAAAGUAGCUUUUGAACUUAUUAUAGAAGACGUUUCUUCAAGCUUUGCAAGUUUGAUUUGAAGAUCUUGUAUUUUUCGUACAAUCUCCUCAAGUUCCAUAUCUUCUUUUUUUGAUGUAACUAAUGGAGGUUGGACAAUAGGCACAAUUAAUCUUAUAAUAGGCAUUGGAGUCUUUGGUAAUUGUACCACUCUUCGAGUACUAAACCUAUCCUUUCUCUUUUUUUUUUGGUAUGUAAUCCAAUAGCGUCUUUAACAACUCUCCACUUUGUUAUCAAUCCUUCAUCUUAGUCUUUGUUUUGAAGAAGAACCUCUAACCUUUCUUGUAAUUCUCCAUCAGCAGCUUGAAGAAAUAAUUCAACCUUGUUUGGUCCCAAUGUUAACUUUUCUAUUUUUGAUAAUCGAAAAAAUUGACUUUCAAAUUCUCUUAAUAAUCCUGUAGUUUUCAAAUUUUUGUUAGAUUGUUCAAUCCAUUCUAAGAAUGAUUUCUUGAUAACUCAAUCAAUAUCCUCUAAAAAACACUCAUCUUUCAAUGCAUGUGAAAAUACCUCCCAUGAAUUUUCUAAAUUGUCCUAUAAUAGAUCUUAUAUACUCUUUUAUCUCUGGUACCAUAGGAAGCUCAAAUAAUUAAAUCAUUUCCUUCUCAGAAACACGAUUCAAUUCCAUUUUCUGCACAUAACAUCUUUAAUAUUUAGAAAUAUCCCUCCCAUCAAAUUGAUCAACCUUGUUAAUCACUGCUUGUAAUGCUUUGAUUUCCAAAGCCUCUUUGCAAUCAUUGCCCUAUUGCUAUUGCAUAAAUAAUGUAAAUGCUUAAAACAUUUUUGCAGUGUUUGGGUCAAGGUACAUACCUUGUUCACCAAUAGAAAUUCCACUUUAAAUUGUGCUUGAAGAUCCAUUCGAAGCUCUACCCAAAGCUCCAUCAAAAAGUACUAAUUCAAUCUUCUUGCCUUCUUGCGCCAUCAAUUCCAAAUAACCACAAAUAUAAUCCAAUACCUUCCACCUCAAACUUUCACGUUGGAUUCACCAUUUAUGUCGUAUUACAUAUUGUUUUGCUCAGGAAUACACUGGGCACUUAGCUGUUGAAGGUGAGAUUAUGAUUCAUAAGAAGCCAAGAAAUCCUAAUAGAUUUCAUCUAUGUGAGAAGAAUAUAAUGUGAAUUUCAAUUCAAAAGUGCUAAAAACACUCUUCUUAGUAGUCUUAAUCAUACAUAAAUUCCAAUUAUCUUGUUACUUUCAUAUUUAAGCAAUUUAGAUUUUUCUUUUAAAUCCCAAUUCUAAUUAGUGAAUUUUAACAAGCUGUAACGUCCAAUCCGACUAUCCACUUGAUGUGGAAUUUUUCAUGUAAUUGUCAAUGCAAGUUUUCAAAAUGCUCAAGAAGUUUUAGCCCAAUCCAACUUACAGAUUGUGAGAAAACCUCCGAAAAUUGUACUAAUGUUACUUGGCCGCCAACUUGAAAAGUAAAGCAGAAAUCCCAGUAAUGAUAUCUCCUUCUUCAACCAUUUACUUUGUCUCAAAAUUGGUGUGUAGCUUGAUCUUCAAGUUCUCCAAAACCAUGCCAAUUUUCACCUUAAUCCGAAUAAUAGAUCUUUAGAUAUCAUAGAAACCCUACCCAAUCUCAAAUUGCCACCUUCUGGAAUCCUCUUGUGCUAAAAACUAGAUAUAUCUAAACCACGCCAUUAGAUUUUUACAAAAUUUUUUAUACACUUAGAACACCCAAUAAUCCAAAUGAUAUUUAAUUUUUAACCAUAGAUGUCAUACCAAUUAUACGAACUAUCCAAAAUUGCUAGCCCUAAUUAUAUUAUAUGAAACCCAAAUCAUUGAUACAAACCUUGACUUUGAAC
rnacentral:lncRNA from 1 species